GUCAAUUUGGAGGUUGUGCCCUUGAGGCGUGGCUUCCGGAGCUAACGCGUUAAAUCGACCGCCUGGGGAGUACGGCCGCAAGGUUAAAACUCAAAUGAAUUGACGGGGGCCCGCACAAGCGGUGGAGCAUGUGGUUUAAUUCGAUGCAACGCGAAGAACCUUACCUACUCUUGACAUCCAGAGAACUUUCCAGAGAUGCAUUGGUGCCUUCGGGAACUCUGAGACAGGUGCUGCAUGGCUGUCGUCAGCUCGUGUUGUGAAAUGUUGGGUUAAGUCCCGCAACGAGCGCAACCCUUAUCCUUUGUUGCCAGCGGUUCGGCCGGGAACUCAAAGGAGACUGCCAGUGAUAAACUGGAGGAAGGUGGGGAUGACGUCAAGUCAUCAUGGCCCUUACGAGUAGGGCUACACACGUGCUACAAUGGCGUAUACAAAGAGAAGCGACCUCGCGAGAGCAAGCGGACCUCAUAAAGUACGUCGUAGUCCGGAUUGGAGUCUGCAACUCGACUCCAUGAAGUCGGAAUCGCUAGUAAUCGUAGAUCAGAAUGCUACGGUGAAUACGUUCCCGGGCCUUGUACACACCGCCCGUCACACCAUGGGAGUGGGUUGCAAAAGAAGUAGGUAGCUUAACCUUCGGGAGGGCGCUUACCACUUUGUGAUUCAUGACUGGGGUG
rnacentral:rRNA from 1 species